rnacentral:rRNA from 1 species
GAUGAACGCUAGCGACAGGCUUAACACAUGCAAGUCGAGGGGCAGCAUAAAAGUAGCAAUACUUUGGUGGCGACCGGCGCACGGGUGAGUAACGCGUAUGCAACCUACCUAUCAGAGGGGAAUAACCCGGCGAAAGUCGGACUAAUACCGCAUAAAACAGGGGCACCGCAUGGUGAUAUUUGUUAAAGAAAUUCGCUGAUAGAUGGGCAUGCGUUCCAUUAGGUAGUUGGUGAGGUGACGGCUCACCAAGCCGACGAUGGAUAGGGGAACUGAGAGGUUGGUCCCCCACACUGGUACUGAGACACGGACCAGACUCCUACGGGAGGCAGCAGUGAGGAAUAUUGGUCAAUGGGCGGGAGCCUGAACCAGCCAAGUCGCGUGAAGGAAGAAGGAUCUAUGGUUCGUAAACUUCUUUUGCAGGGGAAUAAAGUGCAGGACGUGUCCUGUUUUGUAUGUACCCUGAGAAUAAGGAUCGGCUAACUCCGUGCCAGCAGCCGCGGUAAAGU